ACUGUCCAGAAACUACUCCUGCAGCCCAAUAUAAAUAAGUGGGCAGGCAUAUGGGACUCAGGCUGCUCAAACUACACCCCCAAGAAGUCACACAUUGGUCACGCCAACCUUUAGAUCGAACGGAGUGUGAGGAAGUGUGAUUCACUGCUCUUCGCCAUCUAAUCUUCUUCGUCAAGGGCAAGGUAUGGGUUGUGAAUGAAUAUUAAAAUCUUCUCUACGAUCUCAUCAACCAUUGCUUCAUCUUUGUUAUUAGACAACCCCGUCUGAAUACUGUAUCAGUAGCAGUUGGAGAAGUACUGAAUGAUACACAUCUUACAUAGCUGACUCCCAACAUCCUGGAUUAUUUAUAUCUAAUCUGACUCCAGUUUUUAUGCAUUUCAUAGCUUAUUUCCCGUCUGAAUACUGUAUCAGUAGCAGUUGGAAAAGUACUGACUGAUACAAACUUUACAUAGCUGACUCCCAACAUCCUGGAUUAUUUAUAUCUAAUCUGACUGCAUUUUUUAUGCAUUUCAUAGUUUAUAUUUCAUCUAACCAGUCUGCAUUUUGAAUGCAUUAUUUUGUAGCCAAGUCCAACAGAACUUGCUCCGGUGGCACGCCAAUUCCUCAUACAAGUAUAUUUAUACGCGAGCCAAUAGAUAUGACAAGUUCAAGUCAGUCGUCUUUGGAUGAUGAAGUGACAAAAGAAUCAUCUACGAUUUUUCCUACUAAUGGCAUGCUCAUAUCAACUGAGGGCUUGGAGCGAGGAGAAAGCUCAAAAGGACGAAAGCGUGUACGUGAAGCAAUAAGAUAUGCUAGCCGUACACCAGAACAAAUCCAAGCAAGGCGAGAACGUGUUAGAGCACGUCGGCAAAAUUUAACACCUGCUGAGAGGGAAAAGAUUAAUGCACAAAGAAGAGA